GGCCCCCCCCGGAGCGGGCGGAGCUGGACGCGCUGCGGGAGCGGAUGCACAGGCUCCAGGACGAUUACGCCAACUCCCAGCGCCUCAACCUGCAGCUGGAGGAGCGGCUGCGGGGGCUGGCGCAGGCCAUGGCGCUGGAAAGGGCCGCCCUGAGCCGCCACGUGGCCGAGGUUCUGCAGAGGGUCCUGGGGACCCCCCCCGCCCCGG